rnacentral:rRNA from 1 species
AUGUGGACAUCUGUUUUGCAUGUUUUAGAGAACAUUCAUGAUGAUGCAGAGAAUUUAACACAAAGAACCACAGCAGGUGGCUUGAUAUCUCAGAUGGAAACUUUUGAAUUUGUUUUCAUAUUGCAUAUUAUGAUCAAACUAUUGGAAAAGACUAAUGAGUUAUCACAAUGUUUGCAAAGGAAAGAUCAAAACAUUGUUCUAGCAGUGAGUUUGAUUGGGAUCACAUUGCGGCAACUUCAAAAUAUAAGAGAAAAUGGUUGGGAUCAACUCUUGAAGGACACAACUGACUUUUGUGUUAAGCAUAACAUUAUAUUGCCUAACAUGGAUGAUACAAUACCCGCUCGGGGUCGUUCAAGGGGGCGUGGUGGUCAAAUGGUAACUUUCUAUCAACGCUUCAGAUAUGAAAUAUUCAAUGUUCUGCUUGAUCAAAUAAUUACUGAGUUAAAUAACCGCUUUGCUGAAAGAUCUACUCAAUUGUUGAGAUGCAUUGCUUGUCUUGAUCCAAGGAACUCAUUUGCUAAUUUUGAUGAAGACAAACUUGUUCAACUUGCUGAGAUGUAUGCUGAUGACUUCUCCAUAUAUGAGAUUUCUUUUGUCCUUAGAAACCAACUUGAAAACUUCAUUGCUGAUGUGAGAGCUGAUUCAAGUUUUGUUAGUUGUAAUGAUCUUGGUAGUCUUGCUGUGAAGAUGGUUCGGACUGAUAGACACAUGGUCUUUCCUUUGGUAUAUCAUCUUAUUGAGUUGACAUUGAUUUUGCCUGUUGCAACCGCAUCAGUGGAAAGAGCUUUCUCAGCUAUGAGUAUUAUCAAGACUGAGUUGAGGAAUAAGAUGGGUGAUGAUUGGUUGAAUUUUUCCAUGGUCUGCAAUAUUGAGCGAGAAAUAUUUGCAAAGGUUGAUGAUGAUGCUAUUAUAUAUCGCUUUCAAUCCUAUAGAUGUCGCAAAGGAACUUUACCUCGUCGUAGUAGUGUUGGCUCUUCUUCCACCGUUGAUCAAGUUAUGGAAGACGCUGAUGAAGCAAGCCACUGA